GAUGCGACCUCAGCUCAGGCGGGGCUACCCGCUGAGUUUAAGCAUAUCAAUAAGCGGAGGAAAAGAAC
rnacentral:rRNA from 2 species